GUUCUUGUUUUGUCAGCACACAUGCUAAAACUGAAAUGAUACAGAAAAGAUUAUCAUGACCCUUGUGCAAGAAUUAUAUACACGUUCUUAGUGUUUCAUAUUUUU